UGAAAACUGAGUCAGGAUGGUGUUUCCAAUGUUGGUGGUUCUUUUGUUAGGCUUUCUGAGUCAGGAGUCAUUUGCCAAUAAUUUUCUGACUCAGACUGAUGAAGCCAAGUCUGUCAGUCUUGGUGGGACUGUGACCAUCAGCGCCACAGGAAGUUCAGAUAUUGGUGGUUAUCUCAGUUGGUACCUUCAGAAACCUGGACAGCCUCCCAAACUACUUAUAUACAGAGCAUCAAGUCGCUUCUCAGGAACUCCGUCUCGAUUCAGUGGCAGUAGAUCUGGUUCUCAGUACCAGGUUUUCGUUAACGAUAAUAACCUUGCUCAGUACACUUUAACCAUCAGUGGGUUUCAGGCUGAAGAUGCUGGAGAUUAUUACUGUCUGGGUGAUCAUGGUGAUGGAGUGUUCACACAGUGA